GAUGAACGCUAGCGGCAGGCCUAACACAUGCAAGUCGAGGGGUAUAGUUCUUCGGAACUAGAGACCGGCGCACGGGUGCGUAACGCGUAUGCAAUCUACCUUUUACAGGGGAAUAGCCCAGAGAAAUUUGGAUUAAUGCCCCAUAGUGUUAUAGAAUCGCAUGGUUUUAUAACUAAAGUUCCAACGGUAAAAGAUGAGCAUGCGUCCCAUUAGUUAGUUGGUAAGGUAACGGCUUACCAAGACAAUGAUGGGUAGGGGUCCUGAGAGGGAGAUCCCCCACACUGGUACUGAGACACGGACCAGACUCCUACGGGAGGCAGCAGUGAGGAAUAUUGGACAAUGGGCGCAAGCCUGAUCCAGCCAUGCCGCGUGCAGGAAGAAGGCCCUAUGGGUCGGUAAACUGCUUUUACACCGGAGAAAACCUCCCCUCGUGAGGGGAGCUGAUAGUAUGGUGAGAAUAAGCAUCGGCUAACUUCGUGCCAGCAGCCGCGGUAAUGUAUAGUG
rnacentral:rRNA from 1 species